CGCGCCAGGCGGGGCAGUAGCGGCGCCCUGUACCCGAAAUCCGCUAUAUCGGGGCUGGAUUCCUCUUUUCGGCUAAGAGGCGAUGACAGGCGUUAUAUAGGGAAGAUGUUGACGGUCGGGUCCUGUGCAAUGUCAUCCUGUGAAUCAUGUCAGGCCUUGACGGGAGCAGCAUUAAGCAGACCGUGGCAUGUGCCGCAGGGAAACCGGGCCGGAGUCUUUUCUGUAUGAUAGCAUCAUGGUGUUCUUUUCCAACGAGAGGUGCGCG
rnacentral:SRP_RNA from 1 species